UUGAAGUGUUAUAGCCUCUGGUAGAUGUGGUGAUCGGGACUGAGGAUUGCAACAAAUAUCCUUUGGGCUAUCCGUCUGACCUUUGAAAGUUGCUCAGGUGCCGAAAGCGUGCUUACGGCCAUCUAAGUUAACGGGUUAAUAGGUUAGAACGUGAUUACAUUCGUUAAGGACGUUGGCGUAAUGGCUUUAAA
rnacentral:rRNA from 1 species